AGGUAGCAAUAUUUUGGGUUAGCAGUGGCGUAAGGGUGCUUAACACGUGGGUAAUCUGCCGCGAAGUGUGGGAUAACUCGCUGAAAGGCGAGCUAAUACCGCAUGUGAUUUUCUUGAGGCAUCUCAGGGAAUUCAAACAUGGGUCGCAAGACCUGUGGUUUCGCGAUGAGCCCGCGGCCUAUCAGCUAGUUGGCGGGGUAAAAGCCCACCAAGGCUAAGACGGGUAGCUGGUCUGAGAGGACGACCAGCCACACUGGAACUGAGACACGGUCCAGACACCUACGGGUGGCAGCAGUCGAGAAUUUUUCACAAUGGGGGAAACCCUGAAGGAGCGACGCCGCGUGGGGGAUGAAGGGCUUCGGUUCGUAAACCCCUGUCAUUGGCGAACAAGUGUUGCAUUCUAAUACAGUGUAACUUGAUAGUAGCCGAAGAGGAAGGGACGGCUAACUCUGUGCCAGCAGCCGCGGUAAUACAGAGGUCCCGAGCGUUGUUCGGAUUCACUGGGCGUAAAGGGUGCGUAGGUGGUUGGUUAAGUUUGAGGUGAAAGCUCCGAGCUCAACUCGGAAAAUGCCUUGAAGACUAUCUGACUAGAGGAUUGGAGGGGAGAUUGGAAUUCUCGGUGUAGCAGUGAAAUGCGUAGAUAUCGAGAGGAACACCAGUGGCGAAGGCGAAUCUCUGGACAAUUCCUGACACUGAGGCA
rnacentral:rRNA from 1 species